rnacentral:rRNA from 1 species
CCUACGGGGGGCUGCAGUGGGGAAUUUUCCGCAAUGGGCGAAAGCCUGACGGAGCAAGACCGCGUGGGGGAAGAAGGCUCUUGGGUUGUAAACCCCUUUUCUCUGGGAAGAAAGUUGUGAAAGCAACCUGACGGUACCAGAGGAAUCAGCAUCGGCUAACUCCGUGCCAGCAGCCGCGGUAAGACGGAGGAUGCAAGCGUUAUCCGGAAUGAUUGGGCGUAAAGCGUCCGCAGGUGGCAGUUCAAGUCUGCUGUCAAAGACCGGGGCUUAACUUC